rnacentral:rRNA from 1 species
AUUGAACGCUGGCGGCAGGCUUAACACAUGCAAGUCGAGCGAGCGGCGGACGGGUGAGUAAUGUCUGGGCAACUGCCUGAUGGAGGGGGAUAACUACUGGAAACCGUAGCUAAUACCGCAUACCAUCAGAUGUGGCCAGGUGGGAUUAGCUAGUCGGGGGGGUAAGGGCUCACCUAGGCGACGAUGCCUAGCUGGUCUGAGAGGAUGACCGGCCACACUGGAACUGAGACACGGUCCAGACUCCUACGGGAGGCAGCAGUGGGGAAUAUUGGACAAUGGGCGAAAGCCUGAUGCAGCCAUGCCGCGUGUGUGAAGAAGGCUUUCGGGUGGUAAACCACUUUAAGCGGGGAGGCGGUACUCGAAGAGAAAGCAACGGCUAACUACGUGCCAGCAGCCGCGGUAAUAC